GCAGCAAAAUCCUUCGGAACCACUGGUCUCGUUGGCGGUUUGUCGCUGGUCUCACAACGACAUGUCACUGGUCUCGCUAGCGACACAAACUCUUAGGACAAAUCAAUUGCCAACGUAUAUUCUCCUAUUGGUGGGGUUCUUUACAUAAUCAGAUUGUCAAUUCAUAUUGUUCUUGUAUCAAAAUUCUUCAUAAUUCAUGUUCUUAUUCUAGUUC
rnacentral:lncRNA from 1 species